GGGACUCCAUAUUAGUGAAUAGUUGGAACGACAACUCGGAAACUCGGUUUCAGAUUUUGUUGCCUGACUUGCUGACUUGACGUCAUAUGUGUCAUCAACAUGG